rnacentral:rRNA from 1 species
AGGUGAACCUGCGGAAGGAUCAUUAACGUUAUCAAAGACCGAUCGAUAUAUUCAAGGCUUAUGAUGUUGGGAUGAACCAUCGUGUGCCGCGCCCUAGCAAGCGGACGAUGUAAAACAAACGACAGCUCAGGCAAACUUCUGAUCUUACCCAAAAUACCCGUUUACCGGAGACGAGCAAACCGCUUGUCGUGCACGAUUGCGGCGUAGACCAGAGCGGCAGCGUCGCGACUACUGGCAGGCGUUCCCCGUGCACGUGCAGGCGCGUGUGUUCGUAUUCCAAUUGUAAAAAAACCACCAUACAACUCUGAGCGGUGGAUCACUUGGCCUGUGGAUGCUAUGAAGACCAUAGCUAAAUGUGAGAACGGCAGCGAGUCGUUGCUAUAUGCGCUGUCUCCCUUCUCUCAUAUGUCGAAUGCACAUUGCGCCCCACCAGCGCGGUCGAUGAUGGGAUGGAUGAAAUCUGUGAGAUCCGUACACAAACGCGAAGGUGUGGCCUCGGAGCAACGGCCGGGGAGCCAGGAGCAUCCAAGUGUGCGUUGCGGAUCUGUGUCAAAGUAAUCCGUUCGACCCUGAAGGUGGGGCACUUCUAGUCGAGUGUGGUGGAUCGAAGCCAGUGAUCUCUGUCUGUGAGAGUGGAUUGUCGUCUCACAACAGAGCAAAGCUGUGUCUUCUUGGCUCUCUUGUGGCAAUUUGGGUCGACACCAGUCGCGCCCGUUCAAUCAACUGUCAGGCUCGUUACCUCUGCACGUUUCUCCUACAGCCAAGCGGCGCCAGGCAAGAUUCGUGCAUUGCAGGUCAAUGCCGGCAAUCUUACUUAGCGGCCAGGGCACUGUAGCAAGACCAGUGGCAGGCAACUGCUGCUGUUCGUGCAUGAGUGCGCAUCGGUCCAAUCAAUACAUGGUAUGUGUGAAGGAGUCUCUAUGGCUGAUGGAUAUGGAAGCGCUCUCUUAUGAUCUCGCUCCUGUUCUCUCGAUGCAUCAUCUCUCUCUUGACUUGCUGAAAAACUAUGUACCACCGGCUGAGAUGGCUCGGGUAGUGCAAGUUUCUGGCUCGAUCGAUGUCAUGUACGCGUGUGUCAAGGCUUUUUGGUGUAACAGACAGGCAAAGUAAGGCUCUGGAUGCAUAUCCGGGUCAAGUUUACGGUAUUCAAGGUGAUAUAUGACACACACACACACGACAUGACUGACGCGAGCCAGGAGCCCGAGUCUUUGCAAGAGCGACAGCUCUCCUCUCCGACUCUCCCUCAAGCGUGGGACCAAAGGGUGAGAGAGGUAGAGUCUUUGCAAGAGCGACAGCUCUCCUCUCCGACUCUCCCUCAAGCGUGGGACCAAAGGGUGAGAGAGGUAGAGUGUUGUCGCAUUCAGCAGCAAGUCGAGCCCUCAUGGAGAGAUACACUAAGCACUUGAGAGCAGGAGCCCGUGUAGGGCGGGAUAGAGCAAAAGAGAGACAAGGAAUGAAUAUGAUGUGAGACCUCCCAAGCACCUCUGCCAAUCAUGUAUUGUCUCGUGUAUGCAUGCGGUGAUGAUGAUGCUGCUCUGCUGUUGAUGCUUGCACAACACAGCCUCUCGUCGUCCUGCCUCUGCUGUUAGCCACCACCUCGACUUAGGAGAGAUUACCCGCUGAACUUAAGCAUAUCAGUAAGCGGAGGAAAAGAAACCAAUCAGGGAUUCCCACAGUAGGGGCGACCGAACUGGGAAGAGCUCAGCGCAGAACCUCCCGGGCCACCCGGCCUGCGGCGGAAUGUUGCGUAAAGGGAAAGGUCGUAUUCAAACCCUUCAGCCACGCGAGCGCUAAGUCAGCCACGAAUUGGCUAGCCCGACUAACGGAGGGUAUGACUCCACGGAGGGUGUAAGACCCGUGUGGGCGCGUGUUAAAGCUGAAUGGGAAUGGCUUUUGUUCCCUGAGAGUCGCGUUGCUUUGGCAUGCAGCGCUAAGCAGGUCGUAAACUCGAUCUAAGGCUAAAUAUUUCCACAGGACCGAUAGCGAACAAGUACCGUGAGGGAAAGUUGAAAAGCACUCUGAAGAGAGAGUCAAAAGACCGUGAAACCGCUCAGAGU